GAUGAACGCUAGCUACAGGCUUAACACAUGCAAGUCGAGGGGUAACGAGAGGAAAGCUUGCUUUCCUUGUCGACGACCGGCGCACGGGUGAGUAACGCGUAUCCAACCUGCCCCCAACUAAGGAAUAACCUUGCGAAAGUAAGACUAAUACCUUAUAAUUUCCUCAGAUGUCAUCUGACGAGGAAUAAAGAUUUAUCGGUUGUGGAUGGGGAUGCGUCUGAUUAGCUUGUUGGCGGGGUAACGGCCCACCAAGGCAACGAUCAGUAGGGGUUCUGAGAGGAAGGUCCCCCACAUUGGAACUGAGACACGGUCCAAACUCCUGCGGGAGGCAGCAGUGAGGAAUAUUGGUCAAUGGGCGGAAGCCUGAACCAGCCAAGUAGCGUGCAGGAUGACGGCCCUAUGGGUUGUAAACUGCUUUUAUACAGGAAUAAAGUUAGCCACGUGUGGUUAUUUGUAGGUACUGUAUGAAUAGGGACCGGCUAAUUCCGUGCCAGCCGCCGCCGUAA
rnacentral:rRNA from 1 species